rnacentral:rRNA from 1 species
UACAGAGGGUGCAAGCGUUGUUCGGAAUUAUUGGGCGUAAAGGGCGCGUAGGCGGCCACCGCAAGUCGACUGUGAAAUCUCCGGGCUUAACCCGGAAAGGUCAGCCGAUACUGCGGGGCUAGAGUGCAGAAGGGGCAACUGGAAUUCUCGGUGUAGCGGUGAAAUGCGUAGAUAUCGAGAGGAACACCUGCGGCGAAGGCGGGUUGCUGGGCAGUAACUGACGCUGAGGAGCGAAAGCGUGGGGAGCGAACAGG